UACGCUCAACCGCACCUCUGGGAGAGAGCUGUGCGCUGGUGCUUUGUGCUUGUCCCGGUUAGACUUCGUGAGAAGAAUGAGGCACAAUGUAAACCACUUCCCCAAGUAACAAGACUGCGUGCAGCGCCAUGUGGGAUCUCAGUUCUCAGACCAGGGCUUAAACUUGGGCUGCAGUGGUGAAAGAGCUGAAUCUUAACCGUUGGACUGCCAAGGAAUUCCCUAGAUUCAAAAUCUUUCUUUUGAAAUUUGUUCCCGGUACAGAUGAGUCUAGUUUAUAUUCCCUUGCUGAUUACAUUCCCCUUACUCCCUUCCCAGAGGUAGCCACAACUCAGAAGUUGCUGUGUGUCCUUAUAGACCAUGUUUAAAACAUACCCAUAAACAACAUUUAUUAUUAUUCAAAUUUAUAUAAAUAUCACACUGACAGUAUCAUUAUAAAACUUUCUCUUUUAGCUCAACAAUAUAUAUAUGUCUUUUUAGGACCACACCCAAGGCAUAUAGAGGAUCCCAGGCUAGGGGUCAAAUCAGAGCUGUAGCUUGGAUUCCAUCCCAAUAGGAUCAGGGGCUAGGGGGCUUCCAUAUGCUUCGGGUGUGGCCAA